rnacentral:rRNA from 1 species
CUGCGGAAGGAUCAUUAUUGAAUAAACUUGAUAAGGUUGUUAGCUGGCAGGAUUUAUCUUGCAUGUGCACACCUUGUCAUAUUUAUAUUUCCACCUGUGCACUAUCUGUAGGCAGAAAAAAAGACUUAAAAUUUUGUUGGGAAAAGCUUUUGUUUUUCAAGAUCUUCAAAAACAACAAGGACUUGUCUGUUCAUUAUGAAUGGGCUUGCACUUGUGAGGGUUUUUGGAAUUUGGGAGCAAAUUCACUUCAUUUUUUCUGUUUUUCCACUGUCUAUGCUUUUAUAUACCCCUUAAAAAUGUAAUAGAAUGUCAUUAAUGGGCCUUUGUGCCUAUAACAAAAACUAUACAACUUUCAGCAACGGAUCUCUUGGCUCUCGCAUCGAUGAAGAACGCAGCGAAAUGCGAUAAGUAAUGUGAAUUGCAGAAUUCAGUGAAUCAUCGAAUCUUUGAACGCACCUUGCGCUCCUUGGUAUUCCGAGGAGCAUGCCUGUUUGAGUGUCAUUAAAUUCUCAAUCCUCAGCAGUUUUUACAAAUUGUUAAGGAUUGGACUUGGGGGGAUUUUUUUUGUUGGCGCAAGUCAACUCCCCUGAAAUGCAUUAGCUGGUUGCCUUGACUUUGUCUAUUGGUGUGAUAAUUAUCAACGCCAUUGGAUGGUCAUUAACGCACCGCUUCUAACCGUCCAUUCAUUUGGACAACAAUCUUUAUUGACAACUUGACCUCAAAUCAGGUAGGACUACCCGCUGAACUUAAGCAUAUCAAUAAGCGGAGGAAAAGAAACUAACAAGGAUUCCCCUAGUAACUGCGAGUGAAGCGGGAAAAGCUCAAAUUUAAAAUCUGGCAGCCUUUGGUUGUCCGAGUUGUAAUCUAGAGAAG